rnacentral:rRNA from 1 species
UAGGGGGCAAGCGUUAUCCGGAUUUACUGGGUGUAAAGGGAGCGUAGACGGAUAGAUAAGUCUGAAGUGAAAUGCCAGUGCUCAACACUGGAACUGCUUUGGAAACUGUGAAUCUAGAGUGCGGGAGAGGUAAGUGGAAUUCCUAGUGUAGCGGUGAAAUGCGUAGAUAUUAGGAGGAACACCAGUGGCGAAGGCGGCUUACUGGACCGUAACUGACGUUGAGGCUCGAAAGCGUGGGGAGCAA